rnacentral:misc_RNA from 1 species
AUCGAUCUCAAUUGUUAGACGUAGACCACCGUUGCACCGCCGGAACCCUAAUCAGCCCGACCCCGAAAACCCUUUUCCAGGGAUGGCUCGAAGAUCCUUACCGAUCCUCAAGCAACUCCUCUCUAAAUCCCCCUCUUCCGAGAACCCAGCCCUUUUGUCCUCAUGUUUCAAAUCCACAAUCGACGCCCAAAAUCGAUCCGUCACUUACAUGCCCCGACCCGGAG